rnacentral:rRNA from 1 species
GCUUAUACUCGACCGUCAGCGGCACGUGCGAUCGCGCCUAGCGCGCGAUCACGAAGCCCUGACGAGUAGGAGGGUCGCGGCGGUGAGCGCAGAAGGGCUGGCCGCGAGGCCGUCUGGAGCCGCCGUCGGUGCAGAUCUUGGUGGUAGUAGCAAAUACUCCAGCGAGGCCCUGGAGGACUGACGUGGAGAAGGGUUUCGUGUGAACAGCCGUUGCACACGAGUCAGUCGAUCCUAAGCCCUAGGCGAAAGCCGAUGUCGAUGCGGUGUAGGUUUAUUUAGUAAAUAAAAUUACUUAAUUUACUCGCACACACCCGUCGGGCGAAAGGGAAUCCGGUUCCUAUUCCGGAACCUGGCAGCGGAACCGUAAAAAAGUCGGGC